rnacentral:rRNA from 1 species
UUUAUCGGAGAGUUUGAUCCUGGCUCAGGACGAACGCUGGCGGCGUGCCUAAUACAUGCAAGUCGAGCGGACAGAUGGGAGCUUGCUCCCUGAUGUUAGCGGCGGACGGGUGAGUAACACGUGGGUAACCUGCCUGUAAGACUGGGAUAACUCCGGGAAACCGGGGCUAAUACCGGAUGUUUGAUUGAACCGCAUGGUUCAAUUAUAAAAGGUGGCUUUUAGCU